UUUUUUUCUCUCAAGACCCCUUCUCUUCAGUCACGGGGUCGGUGAGUCUACGCCAUGGCCACCAGUCAUCAGUGUCGGUGACCGCCGCCGCCAGUGGCCGAAAAAUUGAAAAAGUUCCCCCCAAACUCCUUUUCUUGCGUAGAUCGUGGAUCUGGUGAUAGAUCCUCUGAAAACCCAGUCAAAGUUCUAUUAGAAGCUGAGAGACCUUUCGGUUUAUCUUCUCUGAUGUGGUCGUCAACGAACCCUAAUGGGUUCGAAGACCUUUCAGAGCGAAGGAAGGCCUCCCAGUGGCAAUGAAUGGGUAAGAUUUAAAAUUUUAUUUUAUUUUCUUAUAUUUUUCGAAAUAAAAAGUAAAAAAAAAAAGAUGAACAAACUUAAGUUUUUUCUUAACUUAGUUUUUUUUCUUUUUGUAUUCAAUUUUUUUCUUCUUUUCCAAUCCCAUUACAAACGUUUUUCUUUCGACUUUUAUAACCGAAAUAUACUACAUUAUGUUACUGAUAACUGAAAUAUACUACAUUAUAUACUAUUUUUUUUGUUUUUCUGUUCUACUAUUCUCUGCUUCUGUGUCUCUAUUUUUGUUUUUUUUUUCUCUUUUUUGCAGGUACCCAUGGUGGUUAACGACGAUUGGAAGCAACAUUUUUCCAUUUCAGUGAAAUGGUGGCAGAGGAGGCGUGGGGACUUCGGGAGACAUGCUUGUUGACGCGACAAAGGCGGCGACUGGAAGGGCUAAAGGGAAAUUAGGGUUCCUGAUGUGUUUAGGAUAGUGGACUUUGGGCUUAGGUUUUUUUAGAUUUUAGGGUUUGCAAAUGGAUUUGACCAUUGGGCUUGUAAUUUGAACUAUUAAUGAACUUUUAUUUUUUUGUUUUAUUUGUUUGGGCCGGACAAAAUUGGGCUUAUACAAUACUGAUGAAACAAUUGUUUCAUACAUAAUGAUGAAUACGAAGAAAUUACCUAGAGCAAGGGUGAGUAAAAUUCGAUUCGAUUCGAA
rnacentral:lncRNA from 1 species